CUUCAGUGAUGUUACGAUGACGAGUCUGAAAGGUGUCCUCCCAUUUCAGGUUCUUAAUUCAGGGUCAUGUUCUGUGAUUUCUGUUUUCUGGGGCCUGAACAGGAUGCCCUUUUAAUUGAUGUCCAGAGGCAUUUGUCUGAGAAGG